CCCUUAGAUGUUCUGGGCCGCACGCGCGCUACACUGAUGACUUCAACGAGUUUUUGUUAUUUUUAGCAAUGUCCUUGGCAGGAAUGCCUGGGUAAUCUUUUAAAUGGUCAUCGUGAUGGGGCUAGAUUCUUGCAAUUAUUAAUCUCCAACGAGGAAUUCCUAGUAAACGCAAGUCAUCAACUUGCAUUGAUUACGUCCCUGCCCUUUGUACACACCGCCCGUCGCUCCUACCGAUUGAAUGUGUUGGUGAGGAGCUCGGAUUGGCAGCAGUUGGUGGUUCGCCACCGGCUAUUGCUGAGAAGUCCUCCAAACCGCCCCAUUUAGAGGAAGGAGAAGUCGUAACA
rnacentral:rRNA from 1 species